rnacentral:tRNA from 1 species
GGGCGUGUGGUCUAGUGGUAUGAUUCUCGCUUUGGGCGAUUCUUAAGGGAAAACUUGGGAAAUAAAUCACAAACAUGCGAGAGGCCCUGGGUUCAAUUCCCAGCUCGCCCC